rnacentral:misc_RNA from 1 species
GAUGAAGAACGUAGCGAAAUGCGAUAAGUAAUGUGAAUUGCAGAAUUCAGUGAAUCAUCGAAUCUUUGAACGCACAUUGCGCCCGCCAGUAUUCUGGCGGGCAUGCCUGUUCGAGCGUCAUUUCAACCAUCAAGCCCCCGGCUUGUGUUGGGGACCUGCGGCUGCCGCAGGCCCUGAAAACCAGUGGCGGGCUCGCUAGUCACUCCGAGCGUAGUAAUACAUCUCGCUCAGGGCGUGCUGCGGGUUCCGGCCGUUAAAAAGCCUUAUUUACCCAAGGUUGACCUCGGAUCAGGUAGGAAGACCCGCUGAACUUAAGCAUAUCAAUAAGCGGCGG